GAUGAACGCUGGCGGCGUGCCUAAUACAUGCAAGUCGAGCGAUCAAAGUUGGUACUUGUUCCACCUGCAUUAGCAGCGAACGGGUGAGUAACGCGUGGGUAAUCUACCUUUGAGCGUGGGACAACAUCUGGAAACGAAUGCUAAUACCGCAUAACAACUUUAAACACAAGGUUUAAGUGUGAAAGAUGCAAUUGCAUCACUCAAUGAUGAUCCCGCGUUGUAUUAGCUAAUUGGUUAGGUAAAGGCCCUACCAAGCCAUGAUACAUAGCCGACCUUAGAGGGGGAUUGGCCAACACGGGAAUGGGACACCGGCCAAAAUUCUACGGGGGGGAGCAGGAGGGAAACUUUGCGCAAGGAGCAAAGGCUGACCGAGCAAAGGCGGCGGAGGGAAGAAGGGUCUCGGAUCGUAAAAAUCCGUUGGUAGGGAAGAAAGUUGGGGGGAGUGGAAUGCGCAUCAAGUGACGGUAACUACCCAGAAAGGGACGGCUAACUACGUG
rnacentral:rRNA from 1 species